rnacentral:rRNA from 1 species
UACGUAGGGGGCUAGCGUUGUUCGGAAUUACUGGGCGUAAAGGGCGCGUAGGCGGCUUUUUAAGUCAGACGUGAAAUCCCCCGGCUUAACCUGGGAACUGCGUCUGAUACUGGGAAGCUUGAGUUCGGGAGAGGGAUGUAGAAUUCCAGGUGUAGCGGUGAAAUGCGUAGAUAUCAGGAGGAACACCGGUGGCGAAGGCGGGUCUCUGGGCCGAUACUGACGCUGAGGAGCGAAAGCGUGGGGAGCGAACAGG